AUUGAACGCUGGCGGCAGGCCUAACACAUGCAAGUCGAGCGGAUGAAGGGAGCUUGCUCCUGGAUUCAGCGGCGGACGGGUGAGUAAUGCCUAGGAAUCUGCCUGGUAGUGGGGGAUAACGUCCGGAAACGGGCGCUAAUACCGCAUACGUCCUGAGGGAGAAAGUGGGGGAUCUUCGGACCUCACGCUAUCAGAUGAGCCUAGGUCGGAUUAGCUAGUUGGUGGGGUAAAGGCCUACCAAGGCGACGAUCCGUAACUGGUCUGAGAGGAUGAUCAGUCACACUGGAACUGAGACACGGUCCAGACUCCUACGGGAGGCAGCAGUGGGGAAUAUUGGACAAUGGGCGGAAGCCUGAUCCAGCCAUGCCGCGUGUAUGAAGAAGGUCUUCGGAUUGUAAAGCACUUUAAGUUGGGAGGAAGGGCAGUAAGUUAAUACCUUGCUGUUUUGACGUUACCAACAGAAUAAGCACCGGCUAACUUCGUG
rnacentral:rRNA from 1 species